rnacentral:rRNA from 1 species
GUAGGUGGCAAGCGUUGUCCGGAAUUAUUGGGCGUAAAGCGCGCGCAGGCGGUUCUUUAAGUCUGAUGUGAAAGCCCACGGCUCAACCGUGGAGGGUCAUUGGAAACUGGAGAACUUGAGUACAGAAGAGGAAAGCGGAAUUCCACGUGUAGCGGUGAAAUGCGUAGAGAUGUGGAGGAACACCAGUGGCGAAGGCGGCUUUCUGGUCUGUAACUGACGCUGAUGCGCGAAAGCGUGGGGAGCAAACAGGAUUAGAUACCCUGGUAGUCCACGCCGUAAACGAUGAGUGCUAAGUGUUAGGGGGUUUUCCGCCCCCCUUAGUGCUGCAGCUAACGCAUUAAGCACUCCGCCCUGGGAGUACGGCCGCAAGGCUG